CUUGAGCCGCACGUCGACGUCCUCCUUGGUGAGCUUGUCGGCGUCGAUCUGCUCCAUGGGGAGCUUGGCUAGGUCCUUGAUGCCGCCCUCCGUGAAGAGCGCCAUGGGCUCCUUGCCCAGCUUCACCUUCUCCUGCGGGUUCAGGCUCGUGCGAUACUUCUCCUUGAGCACCCAGUAGCCGCCCUCCCGCUGCUCCACCCGCGGCUCCAGCCGCUCCGCCGGGACGGCCGAGGCCGACGGCGAGGCGGCCGACGACGACGGGGCGGAGACGGCCGCGCACUGGAAGGGGCGGGCGCGGUUGGGCCGGUGCCGGGACGAUGA
rnacentral:rRNA from 1 species